rnacentral:lncRNA from 10 species
UCGAGAUGCUCUUGCCCUCUGACUGCCAGCUGGGUUUGGUCCAUGUGGAGCCUGGAAUCAAAACCAGAGGGAGAAGGUGGAAACCUCACCCCGAUAACUGAGGGCAGCAGUCGGCCUUGGGCGUUCUUCCGUCACCCAGGUCUCCAGAACCUCCCGGACUCAAUGGCAAGUCACUGCACAAGUUCAGGGCCUUUUCGGUCCCGAUCGAGGAUCUGGAGAUCUCGGGGCUUCCCGGUCGUCUGCCCCACAGCCCACGAGGCGGACCGACCUGCGGGGUGAGGCACCGGGAGCGCAUGGCAGCCCCGGCCUCGGCCUCCUGGCGCCCUCCCAGCCACGCGGUGAAUGCCUGAGAGGACAGAGGUUCGCGGCCCUCCCCAU